rnacentral:rRNA from 1 species
CUUACGGGAGGCAGCAGUGGGGAAUAUUGGACAAUGGGCGAAAGCCUGAUCCAGCAAUGCCGCGUGUGUGAAGAAGGUCUUCGGAUUGUAAAGCACUUUCGACGGGGACGAUGAUGACGGUACCCGUAGAAGAAGCCCCAGCUAACUUCGUGCCGGCAGCCGCGGUAAUAAACAAUAANCACCGGCUAACUACGUGCCAGCAGCCGCGGUAAU